rnacentral:tRNA from 1 species
UCCUUGAUGGCUCAGAGGGUAAAGCAUCUGCCUGCAAUGCAGGAGACCUAAGUUCGAUCCCUGGGCGGGGAA